rnacentral:rRNA from 1 species
UGGGAAAUAUUGGACAAUGGGCGCAAGCCUGAUCCAGCCAUGCCGCGUGAGUGAUGAAGGCCCUAGGGUUGUAAAGCUCUUUCACCGGUGAAGAUAAUGACGGUAACCGGAGAAGAAGCCCCGGCUAACUUCGUGCCAGCAACCGCGGUCAUACGAAGGGGGCUAGCGUUGUUCGGAAUUACUGGGCGUAAAGCGCACGUAGGCGGGUAUUUAAGUCAGGGGUGAAAUCCCAGAGCUCAACUCUGGAACUGCCUUUGAUACUGGGUAGCUAGAGUAUAGAAGAGGUAAGUGGAAUUCCGAGUGUAGAGGUGAAAUUCGUAGAUAUUCGGAGGAACACCAGUGGCGAAGGCGGCUUACUGGUCCAUUACUGACGCUGAGGUGCGAAAGCGUGGGGAGCAAACAGGAUU